rnacentral:rRNA from 1 species
UACGAAGGGGGCUAGCGUUGCUCGGAAUCACUGGGCGUAAAGGGUGCGUAGGCGGGUCUUUAAGUCAGGGGUGAAAUCCUGGAGCUCAACUCCAGAACUGCCUUUGAUACUGAAGAUCUUGAGUCCGGGAGAGGUGAGUGGAACUGCGAGUGUAGAGGUGAAAUUCGUAGAUAUUCGCAAGAACACCAGUUGCGAAGGCGGCUCACUGGCCCGGUACUGACGCUGAGGCACGAAAGCCAGGGGAGCAAACGGG